AUGGCCCAGGCCGUGAUUGGAGCGAUGGGCACCCUCCUGCCCAAGCUAGCCGACCUAAUCACCAAGGAGUACAGCCUUCAGAGGGGUGUCAGGGGCGAGAUCAUGUUCCUCAAAGCCGAGAUGGAGAGCAUGGAGACAGCUCUCCUCAGGAUAUCUGAGGCGCCAAUGGACCAGCCACCGGACAUCCAAGUUAAGCUUUGGGCCAAGGCGGUGAGGGACUUGUCAUAUGACCUGGAAGAUAGCAUCGACAAGUUCAUGGUGCGCAUCGAAACCCAUGGCCGACCAGAUAAGUCCCAUAGCUUCAGGAAUUUCAUUGAUAAGAGCCUCAGCCUGCUGACCAAGGGCAAGAUUCGCCACAAGAUCGGCAUCGAUAUCAAAGACAUCAAGAGCCGCAUCAAGGAGGUCAGCGAGCGCCGUGAUAGGUACAAGGUUGACAGUGUGGCCGCUACCAAGCCACUUGGUCCAACUAUUGAUACCCUUCGCAUGUCAGCCUUGUAUAGAAAGGCUACGGAGCUUGUUGGCACCGACGAGAAGAGCGUUGAGGUAAUCAAGAUGCUGACUGAGGGAGACAUGGUUUCCCAGAAACAGCUGAAGGUGGUCUCUAUUGUUGGAUUUGGUGGAUUAGGAAAGACAACCCUUGCUAAUGCCGUCUAUGAGAAGCUGAAAGUGCAAGAAGAUAAUCAAGAACUGCAAUUCGAUUGCUCGGCUUUUAUUUCCGUGUCUCUUAAUCCUAACAUGGAGCAGAUUUUCAGGAGCUUGCUCCAUCAACUUGACAAGCAUAGGAUUCAAAACACCAAUGAGGCAUUGUGGGGCGAAGAACAACUCAUCCGUGAAAUAAGAACAUUUCUUGAAAACAAGAGGUACUUGAUUGUUAUUGACGACGUAUGGGAUAAGUCCGUCUGGGAAAACAUCAAAUAUGCGUUGAUUGAGAAUGAAUAUGAAAGUAGAGUAAUCACAACAACUCGCAUCCUUGAUGUUGCCCAGCAAGCUGGUGGUGUCUACCGGCUGAAUCCUCUUUCUGUUGUGGACUCAAGAAAGUUGUUCUAUCAAAGAAUAUAUGAUAUGGAGAACAAGUCACCACCUAGUCAAUUGGUUGAAGUAUCUGAGAACAUUUUAGAAAGAUGUGGGGGUGUGCCGCUAGCUAUCCUUACAAUAGGUAGCUUGCUGUCCAACAAAAAGGGAAGAGCACAUACACUUGAGUAUUGGUCCAAGGUGCAGAAAUCUAUUAGUUCAGGGCUAGACAAUAAUCAUGAUGAUGUGAAGAACAUGAGAAGGAUAUUAUCAGUCAGUUAUUCUAACCUACCACCACACCUAAAGACUUGUUUACUGCAUCUUAGUCUAUACCCAGAGGAUUAUAAGAUUGCAACAGAACAACUGAUAUGGAAAUGGGUGGGUGAAGGUUUCGUGAAAAAAGAACAGGGGAAGAGCUUGUAUGAAGUAGGAGGGGAUUAUUUGGAUGAGCUCAUUAAUAAAAGUUUGGUUCAACCUGCAAAAUUUGACAAUGCAAAUCAAGUGUGCUCUUGUCAUGUACACGAUAUGGUGCGUGACCUCAUCAUUUCCUUGUCAAGUGAUGAGAAUUUCCUAACAAGAAUAGGUGAUCCGCAACCAGAGUAUCUACCAAGUAAGAUCCGCCGACUGUCCAUCCAGACCUGCAUUCCAGAAGUUGUUAAUCAAUUGUCAACCAUGGGACUGACCAAUGUGAGGUCACUUACUGUGUCUAGUCCAGCUUUCAGUUUGUUGCCAACACUUUCGGGUUUUCCAGUCCUACGUGUAUUGGAUUUAACAUUCUGCAUGCAAGUGGAUAAUAAUAAUUGGAAGGAUAUUUGCAGUUUGUUUCACUUGAGAUAUCUGAGUUUAAAGGGAACGUCUAUCACCAGGAUCCCGAAAGAGAUUGCAAAUCUGCAAUUUCUGCAAGUGCUGGACAUCAGCUCGUGCACUGAAAUAGAAGAAGAGCUGCCGUCAACCUUUAUUCAACUAACACAACUAUUGUUAUUCCACAUGGCUGACAGCAUCACUUGUGCAGUACCUAGGUGGAUGUGUUCCAUGUCUUUCCUCUUCUCUCUUAGUAUCAAACUUGAAACAAUGGGAGAAGAAGACCUUCAAGUACUUGGGAACAUACCGUCUCUCAGUGAACUGUACAUACAAGUGCAGAAACCUACACAAGGUAGAGACAAACGGUUGGUCAUUGACAAUGCUUAUCCAUUUCGGUGUCUAAAGAGGUUUAGUGUCAAGGGUGACACCAUGGAGUUGAAGUUUGCACGGGGAGCCAUGCAAAGUCUACAGACCCUCCUGUUAGUUUUAGAUAAUGUGCAUGACACAUUCUCUCAGUUUGGUGAUCUUGUAUUUGGUUUAGAGAAUAUCUCUUUGCUUGAGCAUAUUGUUGUUGAGUUCCCCUUCGACGAAGAAGACAGUGAUGAGGAGACUCAAAUGCUGAGAAAUGUUGUUCAGAAAGAGGUUGAGAUGAAUCAAAACAAGCCCAUACUAACUUUCACACAAACAGAUGCCGUUGACGAACAUGCUGAGGAAUUCAUCAAGAGAUUCUAUUUACAGCUGAAGAAGCAGAAGAUAGAAACAUUCACCCAGUAUCUCGAUUCACUAGGAAACUAG
rnacentral:rRNA from 1 species